CCGGAAGUGGGGCGGUGACCCCGGAAGUCCCCGCCGGGUGCAGCUUGGUCGGUUCGAUCGCCGCCGGGACCUGACGCCGCUCGGAGUUGGCGUCCCUUCUCCCUCUCCGAGUGCUGCUUCUGUCAUUGUGGCCAUGGACGUUCACGGCGAAGCAGCUGGAGAAGCUGGCCAAGAAGGCGGAGAAGGACUCCAAGGCGGAGCAGGCCAAAGUGAAGAAGGCCCUUCUGCAGAAAAAUGUAGAGUGUGCCCGUGUGUAUGCCGAGAACGCCAUCCGCAAGAAGAACGAAGGUGUGAACUGGCUUCGGAUGGCGUCCCGCGUAGACGCGGUGGCCUCCAAGGUGCAGACGGCUGUGACCAUGAAGGGGGUGACCAAGAACAUGGCCCAGGUGACCAAAGCCCUGGACAAGGCCCUGAGCACCAUGGACCUGCAGAAGGUCUCCUCAGUGAUGGACAGGUUCGAGCAGCAGGUGCAGAACCUGGACGUCCAUACAUCGGUAUGCGGCCCCUGCCCCUGGGGCUGUGGCCUGGGGACAAGGAGGGUGUGUGGGCAGCUCAUCGGGAGGGGUGGCUCACAGGCUGACAUGCUGUCUCUGCAUACCUGUGGUUGCUCCCUGACGUCACCAGGCAUCCUCUGUGCUGGGUCCCUGCCAGGA
rnacentral:sRNA from 1 species